AAUUCGAUUUGAGUUUGAUCCUGGCUCAGGACGAACGCUGGCGGCGUGCUUAACACAUGCAAGUCGAGGGCUUUGGGCUCGCAAGGGCUCAGGGACCGGCGAACGGGUGCGUAACACGUAAGCGACCUACCCUGGAGUGGGGGAUAGCCGGCCCAACGGCCGGGUAAUACCGCAUACGACCCUUGGAUGGCAUUGUCUGGGGGUGAAACUUCUGGGGCUCUGGGAGGGGCUUGCGGCCUAUCAGCUAGUUGGUGAGGUAACGGCUCACCAAGGCGAUGACGGGUAGCUGGUCUGAGAGGAUGGCCAGCCACAUUGGGACUGAGAGACGGCCCAGACUCCUACGGGAGGCAGCAGUGGGGAAUCUUGCGCAAUGGCCGAAAGGCUGACGCAGCGACGCUGCGUGGAGGAUGACGCCCUUCGGGGUGUAAACUCCUGUUGCCCGGGACGAACGAGCUUAUUCGUAAGCUGUGACGGUACCGGGUGAGGAAGCACCGGCUAACUCUGUGCCAGCAGCCGCGGUAAUACAGAGGGUGCGAGCGUUGUCCGGAAUCACUGGGCGUAAAGGGCGCGUAGGUGGCUGGAGAAGCGUGUGGUGAAAGCCCGGGGCUCAACCCCGGGUCGGCCAUGCGAACUGUCCGGCUGGAGCACGGUAGAGGCCAAUGGAAUUCCGGGUGUAGCGGGUGGAAUGCGUAGAGAUCCGGAAGAACACCGGUGGCGAAGGCGGUUGGCUGGGCCGUGGCUGACACUGAGGCGCGACAGCGUGGGGAGCAAACAGGAUUAGAUACCCUGGUAGUCCACGCCG
rnacentral:rRNA from 1 species